CUACAUUCUGCUGCAGCCUCAGAACGGCCUAGUAGCUAAUGUUAUAUAAAAACAUUUAACACGCCACGCUCACACAAACACUUACGUAUACAAAAGCCGUGAUCCAGACUGCUUUUGCAAAGUCUAUUCAGGGCUUUAUAAGUGGGAACAUUUUUCUAACAGCCGGUUUGAAUAGAAUGGCAUGCUGCAUAUCACUGAAGGGUCCUUCAGGAAGAGGGCAGAUGGUGUUUCUGCAGACCUGUCCAUGUGAAGGAAAGCUCGCAAUGGGCCAAAAUCCAAAUGCAAAAUAUUUCCUUUGUGCAGUGGCACAAACACAUGCAGCAGUGGCCUGAUCUGUUGACCCAACGCUCUUGGCAGUUCGAAAUAAGCCAGGUAACCCGAGAAGCCUGUUUUCCCUGAGCUUUCCUCUACAGGACAGGCCUCUC
rnacentral:lncRNA from 1 species